rnacentral:rRNA from 1 species
AACGAACGCUGGCGGCAUGCCUAACACAUGCAAGUCGAACGAGACCUUCGGGUCUAGUGGCGCACGGGUGCGUAACGCGUGGGAACCUGCCCUUAGGUUCGGAAUAACUCCCCGAAAGGGGUGCUAAUACCGGAUAAUGUCUUCGGACCAAAGAUUUAUCGCCUUUGGAUGGGCCCGCGUUGGAUUAGCUAGUUGGUAGGGUAAAAGCCUACCAAGGCGACGAUACAUAGCUGGUCUGAGAGGAUGAUCAGCCACACUGGGACUGAGACACGGCCCAGACUCCUACGGGAGGCAGCAGUGGGGAAUAUUGGACAAUGGGCGAAAGCCUGAUCCAGCAAUGCCGCGUGAGUGAUGAGGGCCUUAGGGUUGUAAAGCUCUUUUACCCGGGAUGAUAAUGACAGUACCGGGAGAAUAAGCUCCGGCUAACUCCGUG